GACGAACGCUGGCGGCGUGCCUAAUACAUGCAAGUCGAGCGGACGAAUCGAAAGCUUGCUUUUGAUUCGUUAGCGGCGGACGGGUGAGUAACACGUGGGCAACCUGCCCUGUAGACGGGGAUAACACCGAGAAAUCGGUGCUAAUACCGGAUAACACGAAAUGUCGCAUGACGUUUCGUUGAAAGACGGCGCAAGCUGUCGCUACAGGAUGGGCCCGCGGCGCAUUAGCUAGUUGGUGAGGUAACGGCUCACCAAGGCGACGAUGCGUAGCCGACCUGAGAGGGUGAUCGGCCACACUGGGACUGAGACACGGCCCAGACUCCUACGGGAGGCAGCAGUAGGGAAUCCUCCGCAAUGGACGAAAGUCUGACGGAGCAACGCCGCGUGAGCGAAGAAGGCCUUCGGGUCGUAAAGCUCUGUUGUUAGGGAAGAACAAGUAACGCAGUAACUGGCGUUACCGUGACGGUACCUAACGAGAAAGCCACGGCUAACUACGUG
rnacentral:rRNA from 1 species